CGAAGGAUCCAAGCGUUGUCCGGAUUUACUGGGUUUAAAGGGUGCGUAGGCGGACUUUUAAGUCAGUGGUGAAAGCCUGUAGCUUAACUAUAGAAUUGCCAUUGAAACUGAAAGUCUCGAGUGUGGUUGAGGUAACUGGAAUAUAUCAUGUAGCGGUGAAAUGCUUAGAUAUGAUAUAGAACACCAAUUGCGAAGGCAGGUUACUGAGCCAUAACUGACGCUGAGGCACGAAAGCGUGGGGAUCAAACAGGAUUAGAUACCCUGGUAGUCCACGCUGUAAACGUUGAAUACUCGAUCUUAGCGAUACACAGUUAGGAUCCAAGCGAAAGCGUUAAGUAUUCCACCUGGGAAGUACGUUCGCAAGAAUG
rnacentral:rRNA from 1 species